CUAUUUGUCGCAAAUUUUACCUGCGAAUACCUGUGUCCGCGGAUUUUACUUGCAGAUAUCCAUGUUCGCGGAUUUUUUUUGCUAUUCCUAAACCUCACAUACGUGCACGCACUUUGAAUGCCUUAUUCUUUUCUUAUAAUCAUACAGUUGGACUCGCCUCAUAACACAUUGACUUGUUUUAAUAAGUGAUACAAAAAAGAAACAUGGAGAAAGAGGAAGCAAGAUGAAGGGAGGCACAAUGUUGAGGAAGACAUGAUGUAGUAGGGGAGGUGUUGUGUGCAUGAGAGAAGGAGAAUAAGUGGAGGGUAGAGGGAGGAAGUGCAGCGCAAAUGGACAUUUCAAAUUAGGGUUUAACUAAAUAUUGAGUGAAUGGUAAAACGGAGAUAUUUGAAUUUAGGGGGUACAAGACAGAGAGAUGGGGGUUCUGGAAGAAGCCGCCUUCUAUCUAAUGCUGCCUCCUACUGCUCGCUCCACUUGGACAUUACUCAUCUCUACUAUGGACCUGGCCCACCAUAAGUGCUUCAAGACAGAAAAAAAAAUACAUGGCUUGCUUUACAUAACAUCGAGGUUAAGCAAUUUACAGUAUAAUUAUUGGUUCAAUUAAUAAAAGUGUCUGAAUAAUAUUUAGAUUCCUAAGGAAGUA
rnacentral:lncRNA from 1 species